GAUCGAUGAGGAUAAAAGCAAAAAGGCUUUGUUUCUCAAAACUAUUCGCAGUGGCCGCCUAAAGCUUUCGCCUUUCGCCGGGCUUGAGAGCUAAUGCUGCUUCUUUCUCCUUCCUUGGAUGUCUGAGAUC
rnacentral:snoRNA from 1 species